CGCGCGUGGCACGACGGGAACUAUGCCCAGUUAGGGAGCGUACAUUGGCUACCUCACAAGCGGGAGCGGGAGACGGUUGGACAUGGAUCCGAAGAAACCCCAGCUUCCUCGCGGGGCCUUUUCGCUGCCUCCUCUUAACCCGCAGCCGGCCCGCAGCCGCCCCCCGGCCAUGCGUGGCCCUCUGGCCAAACUGUUCCAGGCC